rnacentral:rRNA from 1 species
GGAUUAGAAACCCUGGUAGUCCACGCCGUAAACGUUGGGCGCUAGGUGUGGGCCUCAUUCCACGAGGUCUGUGCCGCAGCUAACGCAUUAAGCGCCCCGCCUGGGGAGUACGGCCGCAAGGCUAAAACUCAAAGAAAUUGACGGGGGCCCGCACAAGCGGCGGAGCAUGUGGCUUAAUUCGAUGCAACGCGAAGAACCUUACCUGGGCUUGACAUGCAGGGAAAUCUCGUAGAGAUACGGGGUCCGUAAGGGCCUUGCACAGGUGGUGCAUGGCUGUCGUCAGCUCGUGUCGUGAGAUGUUGGGUUAAGUCCCGCAACGAGCGCAACCCUCGUCCUAUGUUGCCAGCGAGUUAUGUCGGGGACUCAUAGGAGACUGCCGGGGUCAACUCGGAGG